rnacentral:lncRNA from 1 species
ACCUUCUCCCGAAUAGUCUCAUUCCUGACCCUGUCCGCCUUCGUAAAUCCACACAUCCAACGCAACAUUCUUAUUUCCGCAACCUUCAACUUUUGGACGUGAGAAUUCUUAACAGGCUAACACUCCGCCCCAUAUAACAUGGCCGACUGGACCGCAGCUCUAUAGAAUUUACCUUUAAGCUUAAGAGGCACCUUCUUAUCGCAUAAAAUUCCCGAGGCAAGCCUCUAUUUCGUCCAACCUGCCCCAAUACGAUGGGAGACAUUCUCAUCAAUCUCUCCAUUCCCCUGGAUCAUAGACCCAAGAUAC